AAAAAAGUUUCCGAGAAAUUUCAUCCCUCGGAGAAUUGUUGAUAUCCUCUCGGAAAUCACCGACGACAAGGAAGCCUCAAAAAUUUGUCGGAGAAAUUGACGGUAAACCAUCGUAAUCGUUUCCGAGACGAGAUCGACGACAACCAAUCCCACUAAUUUCUCGGACUUACUUAAGGAAUCAACUCUCAACAGAAACAUAAAUUUGUUUGGAAGAUCUGACGGGUUUGGGGAUGUUUGUUGAUGGAGUAAACCGGCGGCUCUGUUAGGAAUGGGUUGGCUUGCAAAAUUGUCUCCUCCACCACGAACUAUUCUCCUAGCAGCGUUGAUUCCGGCGGCGGCUAGAGCUUCACGGUGGCAGAUCUGGUGGACGACGGCAUUUUUUUCUUCGGUGGCUAAGGUCUUGUAUCCGGUUUUGUUUUGGUUUUUUAAAUUCCAGUUUUUGUAAACCGAUUCUAAUCUCCAAUAAGGGUGGUAUAUAUGUAUAAUGUAUUAUAUAGAGUUUAUAUAUACACAUGUUCUUUUUUUGAACUUAAAUAUAGUUAUAUACACAUGUA